GACGAACGCUGGCGGCGUGCUUAACACAUGCAAGUCGAACGGACAGGCCCUGCUUUUGUUGCGUGCUCGAUUGGCGAGCGGGUGUGUAACACGUGAGUAUCCUGUCCUUGACUUUGGGAUAACUUCACGAAACUGGGGCUCUUAUCGGAUAUGAGCUCCUGCUGCAUGGUGGGGGUUGGAAAAUUUCGGCGGUUGGGGCUGUUCUCGCGGCUUAUCCGCUUGUUGGUGGGGUUGUGGCUUACCAGGGCUUUGACGGUUAGCCGGCCUGAGAGCGGGACCGGCGACAUGGCGACUGAGGGACGGCCCAGACGCCAACGGGAGGCAGCAGGGGGGAAUAUGGCAGAACGGGCGGAAGCCUGAUGCAGCAACGCCGCGUGCGGGAUGACGGCCUUCGGGUUGUAAACCGCUGUCGCCUUUGACGAAGCGUGAGUGACGGUAACGGGUAAAGAAGCACCGGCUAACUACGUG
rnacentral:rRNA from 1 species